rnacentral:rRNA from 1 species
UACGUAGGGUGCGAGCGUUGUCCGGAAUUAUUGGGCGUAAAGGGCUCGUAGGCGGUUUGUCGCGUCGGGAGUGAAAACCUUGGGCUUAACUCAGGGCUUGCUUUCGAUACGGGCAGACUAGAGGUAUGCAGGGGAGAACGGAAUUCCUGGUGUAGCGGUGAAAUGCGCAGAUAUCAGGAGGAACACCGGUGGCGAAGGCGGUUCUCUGGGCAUGAUCUGACGCUGAGGAGCGAAAGUGUGGGGAGCGAGCAGG